rnacentral:rRNA from 1 species
AGAGUUUGAUCCUGGCUCAGAACGAACGCUGGCGGCGUGGAUAAGACAUGCAAGUCGAACGGGGCAAUGAAUGUAGCAAUACAAACGUUGUUCAGUGGCGCAAGGGUGAGUAACACGUGGGCAACCUGCCCGAAAGAACGGGAUAGCCCGCCGAAAGGCGGAUUAAUACCGUAUGUGACGAGAAGAGGGGACUCUUUGAUGUUAAAGUCGGAGCAAUCUGACGCUUUUGGAUGGGCCCGCGGCCUAUCAGCUAGUUGGUGAGGUAACGGCUCACCAAGGCGAUGACGGGUAGCUGGUCUGAGAGGACGACCAGCCACACUGGAACUGAGACACGGUCCAGACACCUACGGGUGGCAGCAGUCGAGAAUUUUUCUCAAUGGGGGAAACCCUGAAGGAGCGACGCCGCGUGGAGGAUGAAGGUCUUCGGAUUGUAAACUCCUGUCAUGAGAGGGUAAGGCACAGCGUUAACUGCGUAUGUGUUUGAUAGUAUCUCAAGAGGAAGAGACGGCUAACUCUGUGCCAGCAGCCGCGGUAAUACAGAGGUCUCAAGCGUUGUUCGGAUUCAUUGGGCGUAAAGGGUGCGUAGGUGGCAAGGUAAGUCAGAUGUGAAAUCCCCGGGCUCAACCUGGGAACUGCAUUUGAUACUGCCGUGCUCGAGUGCUGGAGGGGAGACUGGAAUUCACGGUGUAGCAGUGAAAUGCGUAGAUAUCGUGAGGAAGACCGGUGGCGAAGGCGAGUCUCUGGACAGCAACUGACACUGAGGCACGAAGGCUAGGGGAGCAAACGGGAUUAGAUACCCCGGUAGUCCUAGCAGUAAACGGUGCGCGUUUGGUAUGGGGGGAUUCGACCCCUUCCGUGCCGGAGCUAACGCGUUAAACGCGCCGCCUGGGGAGUACGGUCGCAAGAUUAAAAC